rnacentral:rRNA from 1 species
UACGAAGGGGGCUAGCGUUGCUCGGAAUCACUGGGCGUAAAGCGCACGUAGGCGGAUUGCUAAGUCAGGGGUGAAAUCCUGGAGCUCAACUCCAGAACUGCCUUUGAUACUGGCGAUCUUGAGUUCGGGAGAGGUGAGUGGAACUGCGAGUGUAGAGGUGAAAUUCGUAGAUAUUCGCAAGAACGACCAGUGGCGAAGGCGGCUCACUGGCCCCGAUACGUGACGCUGAGGCA